UGGCUGGGCGCAGCUACCAUGCAGUCGAGCGGAACGAUCCUAGCUUGCUAGGAGGCGUCGAGCGGCGGACGGGUGAGUAAUGCAUAGGAAUCUGCCCGGUAGUGGGGGAUAACCUGGGGAAACCCAGGCUAAUACCGCAUACGCCCUACGGGGGAAAGCAGGGGAUCUUCGGACCUUGCGCUAUCGGAUGAGCCUAUGUCGGAUUAGCUAGUUGGUGAGGUAACGGCUCACCAAGGCUGCGAUCCGUAGCUGGUCUGAGAGGAUGAUCAGCCACAUCGGGACUGAGACACGGCCCGAACUCCUACGGGAGGCAGCAGUGGGGAAUAUUGGACAAUGGGCGAAAGCCUGAUCCAGCCAUGCCGCGUGUGUGAAGAAGGCCUUCGGGUUGUAAAGCACUUUCAGUGAGGAAGAAAGCCUUGAGGUUAAUACCCUCGAGGGAGGACAUCACUCACAGAAGAAGCACCGGCUAACUCCGUGCCAGCAGCCGCGGUAAUACGGAGGGUGCGAGCGUUAAUCGGAAUUACUGGGCGUAAAGCGCGCGUAGGCGGCUUGAUAAGCCGGUUGUGAAAGCCCCGGGCUCAACCUGGGAACGGCAUCCGGAACUGUCAGGCUAGAGUGCAGGAGAGGAAGGUAGAAUUCCCGGUGUAGCGGUGAAAUGCGUAGAGAUCGGGAGGAAUACCAGUGGCGAAGGCGGCCUUCUGGACUGACACUGACGCUGAGGUGCGAAAGCGUGGGUAGCAAACAGGAUUAGUCCCCU
rnacentral:rRNA from 1 species